AACGACUCUCGGCAACGGAUAUCUCGGCUCACGCAUCGAUGAAGAACGUAGCAAAAUGCGAUACUUGGUGUGAAUUGCAGAAUCCCGUGAACCAUCGAGUUUUUGAACGCAAGUUGCGCCCGAAGCCAUUCGGCUGAGGGCACGUCUGCCUGGGCGUCACGC
rnacentral:rRNA from 16 species